rnacentral:rRNA from 1 species
UACGGGAGGCAGCAGUGGGGAAUAUUGCACAAUGGGCGAAAGCCUGAUGCAGCUAUGCCGCGUGUAUGAAGAAGGCCUUAGGGUUGUAAAGUACUUUCAUCGGGGAGGAAAAAACAAAACUAAUAAUUUUAUUUCUUGACGUUACCCGAAAAAGAAGCACCGGCUAACUCCGUGCCAGCAGCCGCGGUAAUACGGAGGGUGCUAGCGUUAAUCAGAAUUACUGGGCGUAAAGAGCACGUAGGUGGUUUUUUUAAGUCAGAUGUGAAAUCCCUGGGCUUAACCUAGGAACUGCAUUUUGAAACUGAAAUACUAGAGUAUCGUAGAGGGAGGUAGAAUUCUAGGUGUAGCAGUGAAAUGCGUAGAUAUCUGGAGGAAUACCUGUGGCGAAAGCGGGCCUCCUAAACGAAUACUGACACUGAGGUGCGAAAGCGUGGGGAGCAAACAGGGAUUAGAUACC